rnacentral:rRNA from 1 species
GACGUAGGGCGCGAGCGUUGUCCGGAUUUAUUGGGCGUAAAGAGCUCGUAGGCGGCUUGUUGCGUCGACCGUGAAAACCUGCAGCUUAACUGUGGGCUUGCGGUCGAUACGGGCAUCACUGGAGUUCGGCAGGGGAGACUGGAAUUCCUGGUGUAGCGGUGAAAUGCGUAGAUAUCAAGUGGAACACCAGUGGCGAAGGCGAGUCCCUGGACAACUCCUGACACUGAGGCACGAAAGCUAGGGGAGCAAACAGG